UAGUACCUACGGGGGGCAGCAGUGGGGAAUAUUGCACAAUGGGGGGAACCCUGAUGCAGCGACGCCGCGUGAGCGAAGAAGUAUUUCGGUAUGUAAAGCUCUAUCAGCAGGGAAGAAAAUGACGGUACCUGACUAAGAAGCCCCGGCUAACUACGUGCCAGCAACCGCGGUAAUACGUAGGGGGCAAGCGUUAUCCGGAUUUACUGGGUGUAAAGGGAGCGUAGGUGGCAGGGCAAGUCAGAUGUGAAAACCCGGGGCUCAACUCCGGGAGUGCAUUUGAAACUGUCCAGCUAGAGUGCAGGAGG
rnacentral:rRNA from 1 species